AGUGAACGCUGGCGGUAGGCCUAACACAUGCAAGUCGAACGGCAGCACAGGAGAGCUUGCUCUCUGGGUGGCGAGUGGCGGACGGGUGAGGAAUACAUCGGAAUCUACUCUGUCGUGGGGGAUAACGUAGGGAAACUUACGCUAAUACCGCAUACGACCUACGGGUGAAAGCAGGGGACCUUCGGGCCCUGCGCGAUUGAAUGAGCCGGUGUCGGAUUAGCUAGUUGGCGGGGUAAAGGCCCACCAAGGCGACGAUCCGUAGCUGGUCUGAGAGGAUGAUCAGCCACACUGGAACUGAGACACGGUCCAGACUCCUACGGGAGGCAGCAGUGGGGAAUAUUGGACAAUGGGCGCAAGCCUGAUCCAGCCAUACCGCGUGGGUGAAGAAGGCCUUCGGGUUGUAAAGCCCUUUUGUUGGGAAAGAAAUCCAGCUGGCUAAUACCCGGUUGGGAUGACGGUACCCAAAGAAUAAGCACCGGCUAACUUCGUGCCAGCCGCCGCGGUAA
rnacentral:rRNA from 1 species